AAUGGGGGAAACCCUGACGCAGCAACGCCGCGUGGGUGAUGAAGGCCUUCGGGUCGUAAAGCCCUGUCGGGAGGGAAGAAAUGAUUGAGAGCUAAUACCUCUAGGUCUUGACGGUACCUCCGAAGGAAGCACCGGCUAACUCCGUGCCAGCAGCCGCGGUAAUACGGAGGGGGCAAGCGUUGUUCGGAGUCACUGGGCGUAAAGCGNAUGUAGGUGGAUGUAUAAGUCAGGAGUCAAAGGCGUCGGCUCAACCGGCGUACGGCUUUUGAAACUAUAUGUCUAGAGUGUCGGAGAGGAAUAUGGAAUUCCCGGUGUAGCGGUGAAAUGCGUUGAUAUCGGGAGGAACACCAGUAGCGAAGGCGAUAUUCUGGCCGACAACUGACACUGAGAUGCGAGAGCAUGGGUAGCAAA
rnacentral:rRNA from 1 species